rnacentral:rRNA from 1 species
CUAUGCGCCUUGCCAGCCCGCUCAGGUGUGCCAGCCGCCGCGGUAAUACAGAGGUCUCAAGCGUUGUUCGGAAUCACUGGGCGUUAAAGCGUGCGUAGGCGGUUUCGUAAGUCGUGUGUGAAAGCGGGGGCUCAACCCCCGGACUGCACAUGAUACUGCGAGACUAGAGUAAUGGAGGGGGAACCGGAAUUCUCGGUGUAGCAGUGAAAUGCGUAGAUAUCGAGAGGAACACUCGUGGCGAAGGCGGGUUCCUGGACAUUAACUGACGCUGAGGCACGAAGGCCAGGGGAGCGAAAGGG